GGGGCAGUAUGCAGUUUUGGUCAUUUCUUCGCUUUUUGCUCGCAGGUUUCUCUAUAGAGCUCCCCCUACAGCUUCAGAAUAGAUAUUUGACAGCUCCUGUGUUUACUUGUGUCCGACCCCUCCCUCGGUCAGUCUGCUGUUUCCUCUUUCUGUUCCUCCAACAAUGCUUUCCGAGC